UACGUAGGCAGCAAGCGUUGUUCGGAAUUACUGGGCGUAAAGAGUGUGUAGGCGGUGCUCUAAGUCUGUUGUGAAAUCUCCCGGCUUAACCGGGAGGGUGCGGCGGAAACUGGAGUGCUUGAGGGUGGGAGAGGUAAGCGGAAUUCCUGGUGUAGCGGUGAAAUGCUUAGAUAUGACAUAGAACACCUAUUGCGAAGGCAGCUUACUACGCAUAUAUUGACGCUGAGGCACGAAAGCGUGGGGAUCAAACAGG
rnacentral:rRNA from 1 species